UCUGCAUCCAUUUCCAAUCGGCCUCUCCGCCUCCAUUCUCAAUUUCUCCACCUCCAUUCUCAAUUCUCAAUCUCUCUUCCUCCACUCUCAACUCCGGUUUCCACUCUAAGUCUCUAACCCUAAAGGCUAAAUCUCACGAGCUCUAAGCCUCCAACAGACUCGGCAAGUUCCUCACGCUGCUCAGGAGCAUGAAGAACGGCUCCGACUUCAAUUUCUCCGAGCUCAAAUUGCCGCUCCACGCCGGCACUCACGUCGACGCGCCUGGCCAUUUCUACUUCGAACUACUCCGAACAAGGCUUUGAUGCCGAUACCCUUGACCUCAGAGUACUCAAUGGUCCUGCGUUGCUCGUAGACAUUCCCAGAGACAAGAAAUUCCCAGAGACAAGAAUAUUACUGAUUUUACGAAGUUGAUUCAAAGCUUAUGAUAAAAAUUAUGGCCAAAAGAUAUGGCCAAAGCUCAUCCCGUGGAACGAAGAAGAUUGAAGACUUGGGAAUGGAUUUACAUUGUUAAUUUGUUAUAAUAUGUUGUAAAUUAAUUAGAUAUCAUGAAACUUUAUUUUUUAUUAUGUUUUGGUGGAUGUUAUUUGUGUUACUAUGAUUUUUUGUGUUA